rnacentral:lncRNA from 1 species
GACUUUUUGUCAGCCCGAAUGCUUCUGGUCGCAUGUGCGGCGACACACGGCUCACACAUGGCGUGAGGCAUGUCUCAUACACAUGCAGAAGGAUACCACUCUCGUCCAGAUGGCUUGCUGCAUGGCUGGAGCGCAUGCGUCGCGACACACCGCCCGCUACAUGUCGAUCAACAAUCUCCAGUUGCAGGUAUGGUGACAUCACG